UACGUAGGGUGCGAGCGUUAAUCGGAAUUACUGGGCGUAAAGUGUGCGCAGGCGGCCGCGCAAGUCGAGUGUGAAAGCCCCGAGCUUAACUUGGGAACUGCGCUCGAAACUACGUGGCUGGAGUGUGGCAGAGGGAGGUGGAAUUCCACGUGUAGCGGUGAAAUGCGUAGAGAUCCGGAAGAACACCGGUGGCGAAGGCGGUCUGCUGGGGUCGAACUGACGCUGAGGCGCGACAGCGUGGGGAGCAAACAGG
rnacentral:rRNA from 1 species